GCAUAAAACGAAUCUCACGGAUGGCGCCUUGGUUUGAUCAGUAGAAAUUGUUGCUAUUAUUGUGUAAUAGUCUGCAUUCCCUGCAAGCGAACGGUAAACGCAAUACUUCUAAAUCCCGAGGCGUUUAAAAGGAACCGAAGACGACUGUAGGAGAAGUUUAAAAGCGAGCGUAUGGGACUAUUACCGCGACUCACCGACGCCUAGCAAUUUUGUGUGGAGAUCACUUUUUAUAAGGAAUGUUAGAGUGGAUUUCCUUUGCAAAACAGAACUGAACUGACUGGUACUGGGAUUCUCUAAAGGAUUAUGUGUGUCAUUCUUUGGAAGCAUACUGUAGAAGUAACUGAAGUCUGAAAUGUCAGGAUCUACUGAACCAUCACA